UUGUUGUGCCCAUGUGUAUGUGAUUUGUGGUGUUAAUUGAUUGCCAACAACAAAAAGUGUUAACAAAAUUUAACGGCAAUUUAUGUAGAGCAGGAGCAGCUACCUAAACAAUCAUUUUGCAUGAAAAGCAGUCGUCACACACUUUUUUUUUAUUUGGAUAUUCAUAGAGUGAGGAUUUAGCGACUGAGUAAGAGAGUGACAGAGAGAGAAAGAGAUAAAGGGAGAGAUCAGAGCCAGAGAUUUAGAAUAUACAAUUCGCACACUGUGGCCAGGAGGAGAAGAGUAAAGCAAACCGAAUGCAGUAUCUUAACUACGCACUGCAGACAUCCACGCGACUGCUGACCCAGCACACUAAUUUGACGAGCAGCGGUUACUGCCAGGAGGCAGCAGCGGCGUCGGCGGCCGGAGCCACGCCCAGUGAGGAGGAGGAAUUAGCACACGCCUGCUGUAGACGCGGUGCCCAGCUAUUGAGACAGCGCCAACAGGAGUUGGCCAAGCGUCGAGCUCUCGAAGAUCAGCUCAACGCCAACAAGGAGGAAUACGCAGCAGAGAAGGCACAAGAGAACAGCGACUAUAGUGAGGAGAGUGAGAGCGAGGAGGGAGCCGUUGGCGGGGAGCAUUUGCCCACACCACAGCCAGUCCAAUGAAAUUUACUAUCAUUUAAUGUGCAAUUGGCGCGCAGCAAACUGCUCUCUUUCUUCAAUCGCGAUAUGGCCGCCACCGAUGGUCAAAUCAUAUUGGCCGCCUCUCGCUUUGGCGAUGCCUCGCCCGUCUAUUUGCGCGACUUUUCCAAACAACCGUUGCCGGCGGUGGCCAAAAUCCUUAAGGGCCAACAUCAGGCACUGGGUGUGCCCACCCUGUCGGCCCCAUCGCUCCAAAGUACGGCAUUAUUUCUAAGCGCUGGUAAAAAAUAUCAAAUCCUAGCGCAACCCAUCAAGAUCAAAGAGGGUCGCAAGCCCACCAAUGUGGGUGCCAAGGUGCUCAUACCCGAGACCUAUGGCGGUUAUUUUGAGUUACUCAGCGAGGAUGGUCGUUCGACACGUUGCAUCGAUUCAGUGCUCGAGCUGGCACGGCGACGCAAUGCCCGCGUCCUGGUACGGGAGACGUUUCGCUGCCAACAAAUGAAUCGCACCAUACAUGCUGGUGAACUGCUCACAACCAUGAACGACAAUGGCAAGUACCUGCAGUGCCGCAACAUUAAGGAUGAGAUUAUCAAUCUGCCCCUCGAUACCAAAGCAAAAUUCUCGCCCAUAGCACGAGAGGAUAGCAUUAGCGGUGUGCAUACCGUUAAGAAUUUGCUACUCAAACGAAUGCCAGUGAUUGUGAGAUUGGUCCAUGGCAGUGCACCUAAGGGCCUGAAACAACCCUUUGUACCCGAACUUCGUCUUUUGGGCUGUGUGGAAAUCGAUCGUAUAUUUGCUCUGCCUUUGCAGAAGGAUACAGAUCUGGUGCCAGUUCCCCUAAAUGCCAAGAUCAAGCUACAGCGGGCCAAGAAUAUGGAGCAAUUGGAGCAUUUUAUUGAAUAUACACGUUUCCUGGACAAGGCGCAACGUCUGUUGUCCGAUGCCAGGGAUCGCCUGCAGAUUGUUGAUCUCAAGCUGAGCGAAAAGGAGAAAAAGGACUCCAAGUUCAGUAGUCGCAAUGGCCAGCGGUUUCCCAUUGUGAUGUUACCCUCGGCUGCCGGAAUGGCCAGUGGCCUGGCGGAAAGUGGCUAUGUAUUGCGUAAGAGUGCCAGUUGUGAUUCGUGGUCCAAACAACAGCAACAGGUUAUGAAUAGUACUGAAAUUGCCGAGGAGUAUAAUGAAAUUGAUCAUAUUUAUGAUUAUGUACGCGGCCUGACGCCCCUCUCAAAGGGUUUGGCACGUUUCGAACCGAUCUGUGAGUCACCCACACUGAAGUCACAUCACACGGAUAGCGGCAGUGGUAAUUAUUGUAGUUUGAUUAGGGCUCCGAUACAUCAUCAGCAACAGCAGCAGCAGCAACAACAUCAACACCAGCAGCAACAACAGCAACAGAUGAACAAUUACAGCAGUUUGGAAUCGAAUAAGCACAGCAGCAGCAAUGGUGGACAUACACAGCCACAUCAUUCGCAUCACCUGGUCAAUCAUUAUCAUCAUAGCCAUAUACAGGAGGAUAUUAAGCCAGUGCCGCCGCCAAUUGAGACCAUACCGGGCAAGAAACCGGCGGAGAAACGUCAACGUCCCACACUACCAAAGCUUUAUAUCAAGAAUGCCAAUGCCCAUAGUGCUGGCAGUAGCAGCAAUGGCAAUUCCACCGGCACCAGUCACAGCCAUAGUCACAGUCACAUUCACAGUCACAGCCACAGCCACAACAGUCACAGUCAUGGACACGGUCAGCCAACAGCAGCAGCAGCAGCAGCAGCAACAACUCCCAACGGCAACACAGCUGUUGCUGUGGCCAAUGCGGCAGCUGCUGCUAUUGCCGCCUCACACCAUGCCCAUUCCCAUAGCCAUGGCCAUAGUAAUUCCUCCCACACGCAUUCUCAUCCACAUUCACAUCCACAUCCGAAUCCUCAUCCCCAUCAUGGCAAGGUGCUGACACCCAAUAACCAUUUGCCAUCUAAGGAAUCACUGCUGGAGCCGCAAUCACCGCUCUUUCACAUUAGAUACAAAAGUCUCAGCAGUUUACAAUUAACACCGGAUAACAAUAAUCCUGGAGUAGCCAAUACGCCGCCUGCGAUCUCAGGCCAUACUAACAAGGCGGCGUCGGGAGUGGCUGCCUCUCCGGGCACACCGCCGGAUGUGGUGCUCAAAUGUGGUAGCAUCCUUAAUUCGCAUGGCUAUUUGGCUGCUGCUGCUGCUGCUGCUCCACAUUCGCAUUCGCAUCCUCACAGUCAUAGUCACAGUCGUAGCUCCAGCAGUAACAACAAUAGCAACAACAACAACACCAACAGCAGCCACAAUCCACGUGAGGGUACAUUGGACUCAUCGCGCAGCGGUGGACGCACUUCAGGCGAUUCCAAUAAGCUGCCCGAAAAGAAAACACGGCGCUUGUCCCGACCGCGUAGCCUAUCCAAUCUGGUCUGGGAUUUGCGGCCAUCCAAAGAGAAGUCGAAGAAGAAGCUCUAUAUACAUCAUUUUGAUCAGCGGCAACAGGCGACGCUGUAUCUGUAGAAUAGCAUAGACAGAAUGAUGAUAAUGAUGAUGAUGAUGAUGAUGAUGAUGGUGAUGAUGAUUAUGAUGAAGAUGAUGAUGACGUAGAGUAAAGAAGAGGCCAAAGCCAAAUUCAACUCCAACUUGUUUCCAGUUGCCAUCGACCCCGCAUCUACAACAGCAGCAGCAGCAACAACAACAACAUAAUCCAAGCAACAAACAACAACACAAACAUCUACAAAAACAACAACAACAACUACAACAACAUUUUGCACGCUGUGUGUGUUCCUGCAGCUUUCACCGUUUAGCUUGCAGCAACAAUUUUUAAUUAAUAUUGAAUUGUGCCUUUCCCUGCGCUUUCCUGCCAAUCGUCAAAUCCCCCAAAAAUAUGCUUUAAUAAAUUCCAAUGAAAUAUUUUUCAUGAAUAUUUUGCCUGGAUUAAAAAUGAUUAUGAUACGGAAUGAUGUUAACGAUGACAAGGAAUGAUAAACACACAGCAACAGCAGCAACAUCAACAACAACAACAACAGCAGCAGCAGUAAUUACAUGCAAUCAGGCCCGGCAGAUAAAAUGUAUAUAAAACCCAUAAUGAUUUACUUCAACAUUUCCAAAAGGUUUAUUAAUUUAUUUCUUUCUUUAAAUACAUAAAUGAAAUUAAAAGUGUUGCAACAGGAAAUUCAAUUUGUAGUGUAGAUAAAGUCGUUUUAUACAGUUGGAAAAUAUUACACAAAAAAUUUUCCACAUGUUUUCAAUAUAGAAUUGGCAAAGAUACAUAAAUUUAAAAAAAUUAUUUACCUGUGAAUCUUAGACUUAUGAUGUGACUUUUCUAAUUGCCAUCAAGCUCAUGAGUUUCCAUCUAGAAGAAUUGAACUUUUACAACUUUUUAUAAAGUAACUAGCAAGAGCAUGAUUUAAUAUAUUAAAAUCUAUAUUAUUUUAAUGAUAAUUCCAUUGAAAUUAUUUCCAUCUGACUUCGUGUGAAAAGAAAGAAUAACAAAAAACCUAUAAAAAUAUUGACGAUGAUUCACUAUUGUCAUUGGGGAUUAAUUCCCUUUUGACACACUUUGGGGGAAUUCUUUUUAAUGCCGGGCCUGCUCACACACACACACAUAUACAUAUACACACACAAAGACAUAUAUACCAACACAUGCAUACACAUAUAUUACACAUCAAGUCUAUAAAAUUGUGAUUUUAAUUUUAUGUUUUUAAUUUAAUUCUAUCGAAAAUCAUUUAGAACUAAAUAACUAAAUAGACGAAAGCCAUUUUUGUUGCAGUCAAAAAAAAAAAACAUUUCAAAUGAAAACGAAAAUCCAAAAU